rnacentral:rRNA from 1 species
GAUGAACGCUGGCGGCGUGCCUAAUACAUGCAAGUCGAGCGAACCGGGGACGGGUGAGUAACACGUGGCUACCCUCCUAUAAGACUGGGAUCACUUCGGGAAACCGGAGCUAAACCCGUCACUUAUUGAUGUAUCCGCGCUGCAUUAGCUAGUUGGUAGGGUAACGGCUUACCAAGGCAACGAUGCAUAGCCGACCUGAGAGGGUGAUCGGCCACACUGGAACUGAGACACGGUCCAGACUCCUACGGGAGGCAGCAGUGGGGAAUCUUCGGCAAUGGGCGAAAGCCUGACGGAGCCAUGCCGCGUGAGUGAAGAAGGUCUUCGGAUCGUAAAACUCUGUUAUUAGGGAGGCGGUACCUAAACAGAAAGCCACGGCUAACUACGUGCCAGCAGCCGCGGUAAUAC